CCUGCCAUUUUCCCCUGUCAAUUACAUGACACGCACACAUAUAUAUACAGCACUGGAUGUGCCAAUGUUGAGAGCAACUGUAUCUUAUGCUGGUUAGAUGCUUUGAUGAGUAACUAAUAACUAUACUCCAACUUAACAAUCAAGGGGUGUUUCUGUGAGGCUUAAUAAUAUAAUCGUAUCGGCCAUGGACGUUAUCCUCCCGCCUAGGUGUAGUCAUUCUCGAGUUCAUUUUUCCAUCAAUCUAUUUUAAACGCCGGAAAAACCUUAGCCAGACAAACACGCUCCCUUUUCAAACCCAAUGUUCAACUGUUGCUGACCAGGCCACCACAAAUGUUGCCUUCUCGCGGGCCAAGCCACUAUCAAACCCAUUAGAAGCUUGAUCAUAGACGAUCUUAUAACUUCUUGAGGAACCUUAGGCGGAGAUGGGUGUUGGGAGCUAGAAAAUUGCAGCUAUAGCCAAGAAGAGAGCUCAUGCUUGGUGAUUAGUUUUGUGAAGAGUCAGAUUUAUUGACGAAACAAUUUGCCAUCUGAAGUUGGCUAUUCUUUUUCCUCUCAUCAACAAUGGCCCAUAGAUGCCGGCAGGGGAGGCAGCUAAGAGUGGUGGCGGCUGGCCGUGGAUCACACAAGACACUUGUUGGAUUUGUAGCUUGUGGGUAAAGUUACUUAUUAUGUGAGCAUAGCUUUAUCUAGACUGACCGGAGGAAAACAUAAUCCUAAUGAAUAAAGUGCAGUAAUCCAUAUCGGGUGACUGUUAGAACAUUUGCGAUGUGGGAGAACACUUGUUGCGAAGUAGGUGAAUGGAGAUGUUCAAAGAAUGAGAGAUAUCAAGUGCCUGGGCUAGCUAUAGCUAGAGGCAUCCAGCCAUAUUUGGAGCAUGAAUGAGAUGGAUGCUGCUCUUGGGGAGAAGCAGAACUUGGGAGUCGAUCACGAUGGUUGUCUUAAUAUUCAUUUAGAGGAAUAGUUAGGGGUAAUCAAAUUAAGCAGUGGACCAGACUUGGCAUGCAGACGCAACAUUGGAAGAGUGAGAAGAUUUUACCCAACACCUUCAUGGCCAAGAACUCGAGGGUAAACCGGCUGCAACGCCAACAAAUUGGAGAAGAGUAAAUUACAUGACAGAAAAAAAAAAGUAAAGAAGAGGAGAGAGUAGAGUAGAGAGAGAAGUGAACUAACAAAAGGGAAACCCUGGGAGCAUAUGACAUCCGUGUGGCAAACACUGGCAAACAACAUCUUCAGCCUCACUUCACUCCCCUUGGGGGGAUCCACUUGAAUCUCCUCCACUUUCCAUUCCUCCUCUGCUCCCCAGCACACCACUCCUUUGCAUGUUAUCACUUGUGAGCUGCUCAUCUCCUUCUCUCUAUUAUGGUCUUGCUUUUCUUUUUCUCUCAGCACAAAGUAUCAAUAUGCUUAAACUGGAUGUCUAUACAUAAAUAUAUAGAUAAUCACCUUCACCU